rnacentral:rRNA from 1 species
UACGUAGGUGGCGAGCGUUGUCCGGAUUUACUGGGCGUAAAGGGCGUGCAGGCGGUUUGUUAAGUGCAGGGUGAAAGCUCCCGGCUCAACUGGGAGAGGUCCUUGCAUACUGGCGAACUCGAGGGAGGCAGAGGAAAGUGGAAUUCCCGGUGUAGUGGUGAAAUACGUAGAGAUUGGGAAGAACACCAGUGGCGAAGGCGGCUAUCUGGACGGUUUCUGACGCUAAGACGCGAAAGCGUGGGGAGCAAACAGG